GCAUCAGUAGUUUAGUGGUAGAAUAUUAGCCUUCCAAGCUGACGGCAGGGGUUCGAUUCCCCUCUGAUGCA